rnacentral:rRNA from 1 species
UACGUAGGGUGCAAGCGUUAUCCGGAAUUAUUGGGCGUAAAGAGCUCGUAGGCGGUUUGUCGCGUCUGCUGUGAAAACUGGAGGCUCAACCUCCAGCCUGCAGUGGGUACGGGCAGACUAGAGUGCGGUAGGGGGAGAUUGGAAUUCCUGGUGUAGCGGUGGAAUGCGCAGAUAUCAGGAGGAACACCGAUGGCGAAGGCAGAUCUCUGGGCCGUAACUGACGCUGAGGAGCGAAAGCGUGGGGAGCAAACAGG